rnacentral:rRNA from 1 species
UACGAAGGGGGCUAGCGUUGUUCGGAAUUACUGGGCGUAAAGGGCGCGUAGGCGGCGUGUCAAGUCAGACGUGAAAUCCCUCGGCUUAACCGGGGAACUGCGUCUGAUACUGGAUGGCUUGAGUUCGGGAGAGGGAUGCGGAAUUCCAGGUGUAGCGGUGAAAUGCGUAGAUAUCUGGAGGAACACCGGUGGCGAAGGCGGCAUCCUGGACCGACACUGACGCUGAGGAGCGAAAGCCAGGGGAGCAAACGGG